GUGGGGAAUAUUCCGCAAUGGACGAAAGUCUGACGGAGCAACGCCGCGUGAGUGAUGAAGGUUUUCGGACUGUAAAGCUCUGUUGUUUGGGACGAAAGUGCCUGUUGCGAACAGUUACGGGUAUUGACGGUACUAAACGAGGAAGCCACGGCUAACUACGUGCCAGCAGCCGCGGUAAUACGUAGGUGGCAAGCGUUGUCCGGAAUUAUUGGGCGUAAAGAGCAUGUAGGCGGGAAUCUAAGUCUGUUGUGAAAAUGCGGGGCUCAACCCCGUAUUGCGAUGGAAACUGGGUUUCUUGAGUGCAGGAGAGGAAAGGGGAAUUCCCAGUGUAGCGGUGAAAUGCGUAGAUAUUGGGAGGAACACCAGUGGCGAAGGCGCCUUUCUGGACUGUGUCUGACGCUGAGAUGCGAAAGCCAGGGUAGCGAACGGGAUUAGAAACCCCUGUAGUCC
rnacentral:rRNA from 1 species